rnacentral:rRNA from 1 species
UGGGGGAUAUUGCACAAUGGGCGAAAGCCUGAUGCAGCGACGCCGCGUGGGGGAUGAAGGCUUUCGGGUUGUAAACCUCUUUCGCUAUCGAACAAGGCCCGCUUAGGGUGGGUUGAGGGUAGGUGGAGAAGAAGCGCCGGCUAACUACGUGCCAGCAGCCGCGGUAAUACGUAGGGCGCGAGCGUUGUCCGGAAUUAUUGGGCGUAAAGGGCUUGUAGGCGGCUUGUUGCGCCUGCUGUGAAAACGCGGGGCUUAACUUCGCGCGUGCAGUGGGUACGGGCAGGCUUGAGUGUGGUAGGGGUGACUGGAAUUCCAGGUGUAGCGGUGGAAUGCGCAGAUAUCUGGAGGAACACCGAUGGCGAAGGCAGGUCACUGGGCCAUUACUGACGCUGAGGAGCGAACGAAUGAGUAGCGAACAGG